rnacentral:rRNA from 1 species
AGGAUGAACGCUAGCUACAGGCUUAACACAUGCAAGUCGAGGGGCAGCAUGACGAGAGCUUGCUCUUGUUGAUGGCGACCGGCGCACGGGUGCGUAACGCGUAUCCAACCUUCCCCCUGCCAGGGAACAGCCCGUUGAAAGACGGAUUAAUGCCCUAUGUUGUGCGAAGAUGGCAUCAGAUUUGCACGAAAGAUUUUAUCGGCAUGGGAUGGGGAUGCGUAGGAUUAGGUAGUCGGCGGGGUAACGGCCCACCGAGCCAUCGAUCCUUAGGGGUUCUGAGAGGAAGGUCCCCCACACUGGUACUGAGACACGGACCAGACUCCUACGGGAGGCAGCAGUGAGGAAUAUUGGUCAAUGGGCGGAAGCCUGAACCAGCCAAGUAGCGUGCAGGAUGACGGCCCUAUGGGUUGUAAACUGCUUUUAUAGGGGGAUAAAGUGAGGUAUGCAUACCUUUUUGCAUGUACCCUAUGAAUAAGGACCGGCUAAUUCCGUGCCAGCAGCCGCGGUAAUACGGAAGGUCCGGGCGUUAUCCGGAUUUAUUGGGUUUAAAGGGAGCGUAGGCUGGAUGCUAAGCGUGACGUGAAAUGCCGUGGCUCAACCAUGGCACUGCGUCGCGAACUGGUGUUCUUGAGUAUGCAGGAGGCAGGCGGAAUUCGUGGUGUAGCGGUGAAAUGCUUAGAUAUCACGAGGAACUCCGAUUGCGAAGGCAGCUUGCUGCUGCUUUACUGACGCUGAAGCUCGAAGGCGCGGGUAUCGAACAGGAUUAGAUACCCUGGUAGUCCGCGCGGUAAACGAUGGAUGCCCGCUGUUUGCCAUUUAUUGGUGAGCGGCCAAGCGAAAGCGUUAAGCAUCCCACCUGGGGAGUACGCCGGCAACGGUGAAACUCAAAGGAAUUGACGGGGGCCCGCACAAGCGGAGGAACAUGUGGUUUAAUUCGAUGAUACGCGAGGAACCUUACCCGGGCUUGAACUGCAGCAGAACGAUUCAGAGAUGAUGAGGUCCUUCGGGACUGCUGUGGAGGUGCUGCAUGGUUGUCGUCAGCUCGUGCCGUGAGGUGUCGGCUUAAGUGCCAUAACGAGCGCAACCCCUUUCCAUAGUUGCCAUCAGGUUAUGCUGGCACUCUGUGGAUACUGCCGCCGCAAGGUGGAGGAGGGUGGGGAUGACGUCAAAUCAGCACGGCCCUUACGUCCGGGGCUACACACGUGUUACAAUGGGCGGUACAGCGAGUUGGUGUCUGGUGACAGUCAUCUAAUCCUGAAAGCCGUUCCCAGUUCGGAUCGGGGUCUGCAACCCGACCCCGUGAAGCUGGAUUCGCUAGUAAUCGCGCAUCAGCCAUGGCGCGGUGAAUACGUUCCCGGGCCUUGUACACACCGCCCGUCAAGCCAUGAAAGCCGGGGGCGCCUGAAGUCCGUGACCGCGAGGGUCGGCCUAGGGUGAAACCGGUGAUUGGGGCU